UACGUAGGGACCAAGCGUUGUUCGGAUUUACUGGGCGUAAAGGGCGCGUAGGCGGCAAUUCAAGUCAUCUGUGAAAUCUCCGGGCUUAACUCCGGAACGGUCAGAUGAUACUGCUUUGCUAGAGUACAGAAGGGGCAAUCGGAAUUCUUGGCGUAGCGGUGAAAUGCGUAGAUAUCAAGAGGAACACCUGAGGUGAAGACGGGUUGCUGGGCUGAUACUGACGCUGAGGCGCGAAAGCUAGGGUAGCAAACGGG
rnacentral:rRNA from 1 species